rnacentral:rRNA from 1 species
UACGUAGGGUCCGAGCGUUGUCCGGAAUUAUUGGGCGUAAAGAGCUCGUAGGUGGUGUGUCGCGUCGGAUGUGAAAGCCCGGGGCUUAACCCCGGGUCUGCAUUCGGUACGGGCAUGCUGGAGUUCGGUAGGGGAGACUGGAAUUCCUGGUGUAGCGGUGAAAUGCGCAGAUAUCAGGAGGAACACCGGUGGCGAAGGCGGGUCUCUGGACAGUUCCUGACGCUGAGGCACGAAGGCCAGGGGAGCAAACGGG